GACGAACGCUGGCGGCGUGCUUAACACAUGCAAGUCGAGCGGUAAGGCCCUUUCGGGGGUACGACGAGCGGCGAACGGGUGAGUAACACGUGGGUGACCUGCCCUCAGCUCUGGGAUAAGCCUGGGAAACUGGGUCUAAUACUGGAUAUGACUCCACGGUGCAUGUCGUGGGGUGGAAAGCCUUGUGCGGCUGAGGAUGGGCCCGCGGCCUAUCAGCUUGUUGGUGGGGUGANGGCCUACCAAGGCGACGACGGGUAGCCGGCCUGAGAGGGCGACCGGCCACACUGGGACUGAGACACGGCCCAGACUCCUACGGGAGGCAGCAGUGGGGGAAUCUUGCGCAAUGGGCGAAAGCCUGACGCAGCGACGCCGCGUGAGGGAUGACGGCCU
rnacentral:rRNA from 1 species